rnacentral:rRNA from 1 species
GAUGAACGCUGGCGGCGUGCUUAACACAUGCAAGUCGAACGGAAAGGCCCAAGCUUGCUUGGGUUCUCGAGUGGCGAACGGGUGAGUAACACGAGUGUGAUCUGCCCUGCACUUCGGGAUAAGCCUGGGUAACUGGGUCUAAUAUUGGAUAGGACCACUUCUUGGAUGGAGUGGUGGAAAGUUUUUUCGGUGGGGGAUGAGCUGGCGGCGUAUCAGCUUGUUGGUGGGGUCAUGGCCUACCAAGGCGUCGACGGGUAGCCGUCCUGAGAGGGUGUACGGCCACAUUGGGACUGAGAGAGGGGCCAGACUCCUACGGGAGGCAGAAGGGGGGAAUAUUGCACAAUGGGAGCAAGCGUGAUGCAAGGACGCCGCGUGGGGGAUGAGGGCAUUCGGGUUGUAAGAACCUUUCGCUAGGGACGAAGCGUUUUUGUGACGGUACCUGGAGAAGAAGCACCGGCUAACUACGUG